rnacentral:pre_miRNA from 1 species
UUACUACUCCCUCCGUCCGAAAAUACUUGUCAUCAAAAUGGAUAAAAAAAGAUAUAUCUAGAACUAAAAUACGUCUAGAUACAUUCCCUUUUAUCCAUUUUAAUGACAAGUAUUUUCGGACGGAGGGAGUACUUC